UGUCGCGUGCCUUGUGAGCGCUUUUGCCUCCGUGGAGGAGGAGAAAAAAAUCGGGAGCGUUCUCUGGGUCCCGCUUGCGGAUUCUGUUGCGAGGCGAGUGGAAGAAGCAAGGAUCGCACGACUAACAGAGGGAUCUGUUUUUACUUCAUCCUAUAAAAGAACACUACAUAGCUGUAAACUGGACUGUUAAGAGAAAAUGACUGACCUAAGUAUAACAAAAGUUCAAUUCCUGGUCAUCAAAUCUUGCCCAGUCUUAAGAAUUUUUUUCCCCAAAAAGCUGCAAGUGCAUCCAUGACAUCUCUGCAAAUAAAAAUAAUUGAAGCUAUGGUUCACUUCACAAAGAAAUGAGAAAACACUGCAAUUUUCUUAAACAAACAGCGUACAUUGGAUGGGGAUUUAAAGAGAAAACAAGAUAAGUAAGAUGCUCUAAGAAUAAGCUGCAAUUCUGCAACAUAAGUCUAUACAAAUCCUCCAGGCAGUGGACUUGAAGGAAGUAUCUGCCCCAAGAAACCUGAUUUUUUUUUUUUUUACAAAUCCUUGAUAACUGGAGAUGUUCCAGCAAAUUAAAAUUAUUUACAAAAUGUGCAUUUUGCAGACUCAAAGCACCUUAUUUCACACUAUUAUUAACAUAUGAAUCAACAUUUCAUCCUUUCAUGUGCAAAUUCUGAAAUUCAAAAGGAAAAAUAAAAGUGAAUUAAAAUUAUCUACAACCAUAAAUGAAAGUACUAACAGUGUUAAGCAUUGCAGAAGAUCAUUUCUGAAAAGAGCAUUUUAUUUUACUCAGUUCUUGUUGCAUUUUUCCUGAUUUACCUUUUGUUAGAAAAAAAGUUUGCUUUUAAAUUAAAUUGUACUUAAACUAAACAACUCUUCAUGCCAUGCAAAAAUAUUUUAUUUACUUUCGAGGCUUCCCUUUUUUAAUUCGUAGGCAUU